UACAGAGGUCUCAAGCGUUGUUCGGAUUCAUUGGGCGUAAAGGGUGCGUAGGUGGCGCCGUAAGUCGGGGUGUGAAAUUUCGGAGCUUAACUCCGAAACUGCAUUCGAUACUGCGGUGCUUGAGGACUGGAGAGGAGACUGGAAUUCAUGGUGUAGCAGUGAAAUGCGUAGAGAUCAUGAGGAAGACCAGUGGCGAAGGCGGGUCUCUGGGACAGUUCCUGACACUGAGGCACGAAGGCCAGGGGAGCAAACGGG
rnacentral:rRNA from 1 species